AUGGCUCGAAUUCCGAGAUCGGAUAUGAAGAUGAACGCGAUUAGGUCAGGGAUAGUUGUGUUAGGAGCAGUAGCGUUUGGUUACUUGAGUCUUCGAAUUGGUUUCAAAUCUUAUCUGGAGAAAGCUAAAGCUGAUCAGCAGUAUCAGCAUCAGCAUCAAAAUGAGCUUCAACAAGCUCAAUCUGAUUCUGAUUCUGACCCAUCUUCAUCUUUCAAGGAACCUAUCUCUUUCCCUGAACGUAGUUCAUAA